rnacentral:rRNA from 1 species
UAACCUGCCCAAGAGAUCGGGAUAACACCUGGAAACAGAUGCUAAUACCGGAUAACAACAGAUGAUGCCUAUCAACUGUUUAAAAGAUGGUUCUGCUAUCACUCUUGGAUGGACCUGCGGCGCAUUAGCUAGUUUGGUAGGUAACGGCCUACCAAGGCGAUGAUGCAUAGCCGAGUUGAGAGACUGAUCGGCCACAUUGGGACUGAGACACGGCCCAAACUCCUACGGGAGGCAGCAGCC